rnacentral:rRNA from 1 species
GAUGAACGCUAGCGGCAGGCUUAAUACAUGCAAGUCGAGGGGCAGCAUGACUGUAGCAAUACAGUUGAUGGCGACCGGCAAACGGGUGCGGAACACGUACAGAACCUUCCUUCGAGCGGGGAAUAGCCCAGAGAAAUUUGGAUUAAUACCCCAUAGUACAUUAGAGUGGCAUCACUUUGAUGUUAAAGAUUUAUCACUUGAAGAUGGCUGUGCGGCUGAUUAGGUAGUUGGCGGGGUAACGGCCCACCAAGCCUGCGAUCAGUAACUGGUGUGAGAGCACGACCAGUCACACGGGCACUGAGACACGGGCCCGACUCCUACGGGAGGCAGCAGUAAGGAAUAUUGGUCAAUGGACGAAAGUCUGAACCAGCCAUGCCGCGUGGAGGAUGAAGGUCCUCUGGAUUGUAAACUUCUUUUCGGGGAGACGAGAAAGGACGGUAUCCCCGGAAUAAGCCACGGCAAACUACGUGCCAGCAGCC